CAGUAUUUUCAAUUCAUCACCCCUUUUGUCUAAACCUUUCAUCUCCCUUAGAAAACCCUCUUUUUAUCUUUGACCCUUCUUUUUCUUCUCAUCCAUCUCAAAUAUGAUGACUCGAACUAGAUCCAUUACUUCUCCCAAAGUUAUCCCUCACUGCCCUUCAGACUCUUUCGAACAUAAUGUUCUUUUGAGGAUUCCUCCAAAGAGGAAUUUGAUGCUCCUUUUUCUUCAUCCAAGAAUAGACUUGUUGUAAAAAAAAAGGCCUCUAAAAAGCAUCGCCUAGAUCCCUCCAACACCCUCUAUUCUGAAGACAUGCAUUGAUUCUGGGGUAUCAACUAGAAAAACAAGUUUGAAGCAUUAAAUGUCAUCAACUUGGAAUAGCUGAAAGAUUCUCACCACCGGGGGGAGAAGAUGGCACAAAUAGUCCAAGCAACUAGCAAGGGGGAGAACUCACAAGAUGUUUUUUGUGCACUCAGCUAAGGGGAGUGAGUCUCAUAGCUGAACAAGCAAGUAUAGAAGUAUUAUUUGUGCAAAUUAUUUGUCAUUAUCAAAAAGGGGAGAUUGAUAGGUUCAAGUUAAUUAAAGUAAAGUUUAAAUAAUGGCAAAAUCACUUUGCAGGUAAACAAAGGAGUAGGUUGAAUGCCAGAAAGGAAUGAAUAUCAAGCAAAAGAAUUGAAUCAAUGUACAAGUGAUUUAAUCUGCUAUGCACAAAUCAGGACGAAGAUUAGAUCAUCUACAAGGGAAGAAAAUCAUAAGCUUAAAGUUGGAGUGCCCACUAGGAAAGAAAAUCAAGACAAGCAAAGGAAAGGAUUGAAGACCUCCUCUAAUCAAGGACCAGACCAAGGAAAUGACGGACUGCGGAAUGAAAGGAGCAAGAUAGAAGAUCGACCUCAUGUUUGGAAAGAAAUAAAUCAAGAAGAAAGAAGAUCGGUAGAAUGAUAGACCACAAUAUGGACAUGUACUAUCAUUCAUACUCAAUCAAGGAAAGAAACUCCUUUGAGUUUUCCUUCAGAGCAUAAAGAACCUCACUACAAGGAUCUAUAAGAAGUUUGUUCCUUUCGAAAAUGAAAACUACGCACUUCACUUGAACUUGUACUACAUCUUCUUUCUUUCAUCUUUCAUACUACUCUAUAACCUUGCAAAGCCUACAAUUAUAAAAGAAGAGAGUUGUGUUGGUUAUA